GGUUAAGUGAAUAAGGGCGCACGGUGGAUGCCUUGGCACUAGGAGCCGAUGAAGGACGGGACUAACACCGAUAUGCUUCGGGGAGCUGUAAGUAAGCUUUGAUCCGGAGAUUUCCGAAUGGGGAAACCCAACAUCUUUUAUAGGAUGUUACUUUUCAGUGAAUACAUAGCUGAUUAGAGGUAGACGCAGAGAACUGAAACAUCUAAGUACCUGCAGGAAGAGAAAGAAAAAUCGAUUCCCUGAGUAGCGGCGAGCGAAACGGGAAAAGCCCAAACCAAGAGGCUUGCCUCUUGGGGUUGUAGGACUCCGAUAUGGUAGUCCAGUGAGAUAGUCGAAGGACCUGGAAAGGUCUGCUAGAAAGGGUAAAAGCCCCGUAGACAAAAUUUGACUGGCACCUAGGAGGAUCCUGAGUACGGCGGAACACGAGGAAUUCCGUCGGAAUCCGGGAGGACCAUCUCCCAAGGCUAAAUACUCCCUAGUGACCGAUAGUGAACCAGUACCGUGAGGGAAAGGUGAAAAGCACCCCGGAAGGGGAGUGAAAUAGAUCCUGAAACCGUGUGCCUACAACAAGUUAGAGCCCGUUAAUGGGUGAUAGCGUGCCUUUUGUAGAAUGAACCGGCGAGUUACGAUUACUUGCGAGGUUAAGUUGAAAAGACGGAGCCGCAGCGAA
rnacentral:rRNA from 1 species